UAGACGCAGGCAACCACGGUAGGGUCAGCGACUGGGGUGAAGUCGUAACAAGGUAGCCGUAGGGGAACCUGUGGCUGGAUCACCUCCUUUCUAAGGAUGAUCAAGAAUGGGCCUAGGCCUUUUUUGAUCUGAUUAGACAUUGACGGUUUAAAGUCUUAUUUAAACCGUUGACAUAUUUUAAACAUUCUAUGAACCGUGGGUUUUGAAUGGAAACUCUGUCCCCUUUAGUGAUACAGAGCAUAACUGUUUUUUAUCCAUGGUUCAUUUGUUUAAAAAUUUAUAAAAAGACUAGCCGCCUUCAUUUCUCUUUCUUCAGAUGAUGAUCCUAAGCCUUCUGGCGAUCUGUUUGCACAAGCCUCUGAGAGGGAUGAACGAUAUUGUUUUCUUUGAUCAGAUUAUGCCGGUAAAGGUUUUCUGGUUUACCCUAUAGGGCUUGUAGCUCAGUUGGUUAGAGCGCGCGCUUGAUAAGCGUGAGGUCGGAGGUUCAAGUCCUCCCAGGCCCACCAGUUACACGAUGCUAAAAGUUGCUAUAUUGGGAGAGUUGAUAAUCCCUUACAGGAAAUUAUUGCCCUUAAUAAAACUUUAUUUUCUAAAAGCAUUCAGAGCUGACAUAGAAUAGAGCUGACAUAGAAUUGAGAAUCUGACAUAGGAAUUAUUGAAAUUGUUUUGGAAUUAUUGAAAUUGUUUUCUAUCAUUUUAAAAGGCUAAAAUAUUCUGUCUCUAUUUUUAAAAUAGCAUCAGGUGUUUUGUAAGAGUGUGAAGUUUUUAAGUGUGAGGUUUUUUAUAUUUUAGUGUGAGGUUUUUAUAAGGGUAUGACGUGAGAGCGUUUUGACCUGUUUUAGGGGCCGUAGCUCAGCUGGGAGAGCACCUGCUUUGCAAGCAGGGGGUCGUCGGUUCGAUCCCGUCCGGCUCCACCAUAAUUUGGUUCAUCAGUAUUGUUAGAAGAAUAGUUAUUGCAAGUAUAUUCAGACGAUCUCUUUGCUUGAACUCAUCUUAUGAAAGAGAUUUUUCUUAUGAAAGAGAUUUUUAAGAAUGGAUAGCUUAAAAAGAAGAAUUGAUGGCUUAAAAAGGUGGCUUAAAAAGAUGGCUGUUUUUAAAUGAAAAUAGUUAUUUUUACGCUCUUUUGACGAUUGUUACAACAUUAUACGAUUAAAACAUUAUACGAUAAUGAUAAUAACGAUAAUAAAAAGAGCUUUCAUUAAUAAAAAGAGCUUUCAUUAAUAAUAAAGAGCUUUCAUUAAUAAUAAAGAGCUUUCAUUAAUAAUAAAGAGCUUUCAUUAAUAAUAAAGAGCUUUCAUUAAUAAUAAAGAGCUUUCAUUAAUAAUAAAGAGCUUUCAUUGAACUUUCAUUGAAGAAGCAUUUUGAGCAAAACAGAUGUGUCGCAAGGAAGAGCUCAAAUUCCUUGCUUAUGAUUGGCAACUUAACCGUGCCAUUGAAUAUAUCUCGAGAAGUUGGUCUUUUCUGCUGAUAUUUUUGUUUUGAAGUGCCUAUUGAUGCUAGAUUAUUUUUAAAAAUAAUUUUGUAUUGAUGAUUUUGCACGGAAUAAUUGACGAAUGAAUAUUGGCAAUGAGAAUGAUCAA
rnacentral:misc_RNA from 1 species